rnacentral:rRNA from 1 species
ACAGAGGGGGCAAGCGUUGUUCGGAAUUAUUGGGCGUAAAGGGCGCGUAGGCGGCCUGGUAAGUAGGGGGUGAAAUCCUGCGGCUUAACCGCAGGGCUGCCUUCUAAACUGUCAGGCUUGAGCACAGUAGAGGCAGGUGGAAUUCCCGGUGUAGCGGUGGAAUGCGUAGAGAUCGGGAAGAACAUCAGUGGCGAAGGCGGCCUGCUGGGCUGUUGC